GGCUCAGGAUGAACGCUGGCGGCGUGCCUAACACAUGCAAGUCGAACGGACCUUGUUUGAAUGCGGCUUCGGCCAAAGGAUUUACAAGGUUAGUGGCGGACGGGUGAGUAACGCGUGGAGAACCUGCCCUGUACAGGGGGAUAACAGUUAGAAAUGACUGCUAAUACCGCAUAAGCGCACACUACCGCAUGGUAGAGUGUGAAAAACUCCGGUGGUACAGGAUGGCUCCGCGUUGGAUUAGCCAGUUGGCGGGGUAACGGCCCACCAAAGCGACGAUCCAUAGCCGGCCUGAGAGGGUGAACGGCCACAUUGGGACUGAGACACGGCCCAGACUCCUACGGGAGGCAGCAGGUGGGGAAUAUUGCACAAUGGGGGGAACCCUGAUGCAAGCGACGCCGCGUGAAGGAAGAAGUAUCUCGGUAUGUAAACUUCUAUCAGCAGGGAAGAAAAUGACGGUACCUGACUAAGAAGCCCCGGCUAACUACGUGCCAGCAGCAGC
rnacentral:rRNA from 1 species